ACGGCCAUACCACAAUGAAAACAUUAGUUUGCCUCCGAUCACCGAAGUUAAGCAAUGCCGGGCCUGGUCAGUACUUGGGAGGGUGACCACUUGGGACCACUCUGUGUGGUAGACU